GAUGAACGCUGGCGGCGUGCCUAAUACAUGCAAGUCGAGCGAACAGACGAGGAGCUUGCUCCUUUGAUGUUAGCGGCGGACGGGUGAGUAACACGUAGGUAACCUACCUAUAAGACUGGGAUAACUUCGGGUAACCGGAGCUAAUACCGGAUAAUAUUUCGAACCGCAUGGUUCGAUAGUGAAAGAUGGCUUUGCUAUCACUUAUAGAUGGACCUGCGCCGUAUUAGCUAGUUGGUAAGGUAACGGCUUACCAAGGCAACGAUACGUAGCCGACCUGAGAGGGUGAUCGGCCACACUGGAACUGAGACACGGUCCAGACUCCUACGGGAGGCAGCAGUAGGGAAUCUUCCGCAAUGGGCGAAAGCCUGACGGAGCAACGCCGCGUGAGUGAUGAAGGUCUUCGGAUCGUAAAACUCUGUUAUUAGGGAAGAACAAACGUGUAAGUAACUGUGCACGUCUUGACGGUACCUAAUCAGAAAGCCACGGCUAACUACGUG
rnacentral:rRNA from 1 species